GACGAACGCUGGCGGCGUGCUUAACACAUGCAAGUCGAGCGAUGAAGUUCCUUCGGGAAUGGAUUAGCGCCGGACGGGUGAGUAACACGUGGGUAACCUGCCUCAUAGAGGGGAAUAGCCUUUCGAAAGGAAGAUUAAUACCGCAUAAGAUUGUAGUACAGCAUGGUACAGCAAUUAAAGGAGUAAGCCGCGAUGAGAUGGACCCGCGUCGCAUUAGCUAGUUGGUGAGGUAACGGCUCACCAAGGCGACGAUGCGUAGCCGACCUGAGAGGGUGAUCGGCCACAUUGGGACUGAGACACGGCCCAGACUCCUACGGGAGGCAGCAGUGGGGAAUAUUGCACAAUGGGGGAAACCCUGAUGCAGCAACGCCGCGUGAGUGAUGACGGUCUUCGGAUUGUAAAGCUCUGUCUUCAGGGACGAUAAUGACGGUACCUGAGGAGGAAGCCACGGCUAACUACGUGCCAGCCGCCGCAGUAACAC
rnacentral:rRNA from 1 species